rnacentral:rRNA from 1 species
AAGUCGUAACAAGGUCUCCGUAGGUGAACCUGCGGAGGGAUCAUUACACAAUAUGAAAGCGGGUUGGGACCUCACCUCGGUGAGGGCUCCAGCUUGUCUGAAUUAUUCACCCAUGUCUUUUGCGCACUUCUUGUUUCCUGGGCGGGUUCGCCCGCCACCAGGACCAAACCAUAAACCUUUUUGUAAUUGCAAUCAGCGUCAGUAAACAAUGUAAUUAUUACAACUUUCAACAACGGAUCUCUUGGUUCUGGCAUCGAUGAAGAACGCAGCGAAAUGCGAUACGUAGUGUGAAUUGCAGAAUUCAGUGAAUCAUCGAAUCUUUGAACGCACAUUGCGCCCUUUGGUAUUCCAAAGGGCAUGCCUGUUCGAGCGUCAUUUGUACCCUCAAGCUUAGCUUGGUAUUGAGUCUAUGUCAGUAAUGGCAGGCUCUAAAAUCAGUGGCGGCGCCGCUGGGUCCUGAACGUAGUAAUAUCUCUCGUUACAGGUUCUCGGUGUGCUUCUGCCAAAACCCAAAUUUUUCUAUGGUUGACCUCGGAUCAGGUAGGGAUACCCGCUGAACUUAA